UACGUAGGGCGCAAGCGUUGUCCGGAAUUAUUGGGCGUAAAGAGCUCGUAGGUGGCGUGUCGCGUCUGCCGUGAAAGCCCAUGGCUUAACUGUGGGUCUGCGGUGGAUACGGGCAGGCUAGAGGCUGGUAGGGACAAGCGGAAUUCCUGGUGUAGCGGUGAAAUGCGCAGAUAUCAGGAGGAACACCGGUGGCGAAGGCGGCUUGCUGGGCCAGUUCUGACGCUGAGGAGCGAAAGCGUGGGGAGCGAACAGG
rnacentral:rRNA from 1 species